rnacentral:rRNA from 1 species
GCAUGGCGGGUGCUAUAAUGCAGUCGACGCUUCUUUUUCCACCGGAGCUUGCUCCACCGGAAAAAGAGGAGUGGCGAACGGGUGAGUAACACGUGGGUAACCUGCCCAUCAGAAGGGGAUAACACUUGGAAACAGGUGCUAAUACCGUAUAACAAUCGAAACCGCAUGGUUUUGAUUUGAAAGGCGCUUUCGGGUGUCGCUGAUGGAUGGACCCGCGGUGCAUUAGCUAGUUGGUGAGGUAACGGCUCACCAAGGCGACGAUGCAUAGCCGACCUGAGAGGGUGAUCGGCCACAUUGGGACUGAGACACGGCCCAAACUCCUACGGGAGGCAGCAGUAGGGAAUCUUCGGCAAUGGACGAAAGUCUGACCGAGCAACGGCCCGGCGUGGAGGGAAGAAGGUUUUCGGAUCGUAAAACUCUGUUGUUAGAGAAGAACAAGGGAUGAGAGUAACUGUUCAUCCCUUGACGGUAUCUAACCAGAAAGCCACGGCUAACUACGUGCCAGCAGCCGCGGUAAUACGUAGGUGGCAAGCGUUGUCCGGGAUUUAUUGGGCGUAAAGCGAGCGCAGGCGGUUUCUUAAGUCUGAUGUGAAAGCCCCCGGCUCAACCGGGGAGGGUCAUUGGAAACUGGGAGACUUGAGUGCAGAAGAGGAGAGUGGAAUUCCAUGUGUAGCGGUGAAAUGCGUAGAUAUAUGGAGGAACACCAGUGGCGAAGGCGGCUCUCUGGUCUGUAACUGACGCUGAGGCUCGAAAGCGUGGGGAGCAAACAGGAUUAGAUACCCUGGUAGUCCACGCCGUAAACGAUGAGUGCUAAGUGUUGGAGGGUUUCCGCCCUUCAGUGCUGCAGCUAACGCAUUAAGCACUCCGCCUGGGGAGUACGACCGCAAGGUUGAAACUCAAAGGAAUUGACGGGGGCCCGCACAAGCGGUGGAGCAUGUGGUUUAAUUCGAAGCAACGCGAAGAACCUUACCAGGUCUUGACAUCCUUUGACCACUCUAGAGAUAGAGCUUCCYCUUCGGGGGCAAAGUGACAGGUGGUGCAUGGUUGUCGUCAGCUCGUGUCGUGAGAUGUUGGGUUAAGUCCCCGCAACGAGCGCAACCCUUAUUGUUAGUUGCCAUCAUUUAGUUGGGCACUCUAGCAAGACUGCCGGUGACAAACCGGAGGAAGGUGGGGAUGACGUCAAAUCAUCAUGCCCCUUAUGACCUGGGCUACACACGUGCUACAAUGGGAAGUACAACGAGUCGCAAAGUCGCGAGGCUAAGCUAAUCUCUUAAAGCUUCUCUCAGUUCGGAUUGUAGGCUGCAACUCGCCUACAUGAAGCCGGAAUCGCUAGUAAUCGCGGAUCAGCACGCCGCGGUGAAUACGUUCCCGGGCCUUGUACACACCGCCCGUCACACCACGAGAGUUUGUAACACCCGAAGUCGGUGAGGUAACCUUUUGGAGCCAGCCGCCUAAGUGAUUUAUU